UAUACGUCUAAUGGUUUUCUUUUGUUGUGAUGUACCUUCGCGUACUUGUAUAGCUGAGGCAGGAAAUUUUUACGAGAGCUUCAAUUCGUGUGUUUGGCGUUUGGCUCCGAAAUAUUUAUAUUGUGGCAUCCGAACAGUGGAAAUAGCCGCAUAUAUUGCUGCAGGAUUAUUCAACGAAGGCUAUUUCGCCGUUUUAAAAAUUAUGGACACAUUAGAACUAAAGAUCGGUACCCAUUGUAAGGGGUAUGCAGACUCGUAUGACGCCGCGCGAAUACGGCAACGGGAGCGACGAAGCCUCAGUAGCUCGAAAGAAGCUCGAACUGCUCGCAAAGAACUGAAUUUACAACAGCAGCAAUUAUACGAGGAUGCAGAAGGCCUACUAUAUGGCCCUGGAAUCGCCGAUUAGGACUACCAUUACAGCGGAUGCUAGACUGCACACCGUUUGACGCCUGCGACGCCGAAGCCGCUGAAGGCGGCGUCCAUACCUAUAUCUAUAUAUAUGUUUUUUUUAACCAAAAAAAUAUUUUUAUAUUCUCUUUACAUGUAUUGAUGUACUAUUAAAGUUUGAGAUCCUUUGACUAAAUACGUUCUUGAA